rnacentral:piRNA from 1 species
GUCACUAAGGGUGUAUACAUACACCAAGAGC